rnacentral:rRNA from 1 species
CACGUGGGGUGCAAGCGUUGUCCGGAAUUAUUGGGCGUAAAGGGCUCGUAGGCGGUCCGUCACGUCGGGAGUGAAAACUCGGGGCUCAACCCCGAGCCUGCUUCCGAUACGGGCGGACUAGAGGUAGGUAGGGGAGAACGGAAUUCCUGGUGUAGCGGUGGAAUGCGCAGAUAUCAGGAGGAACACCGGUGGCGAAGGCGGUUCUCUGGGCCUUACCUGACGCUGAGGAGCGAAAGCGUGGGGAGCGAACAGG